rnacentral:SRP_RNA from 1 species
GCCCAGUGUGGUGGUGCACACUUGUAAUCCCAAGGAAACUGAGUCUGGAAAAUCUCUUGAACUCUGGAGUCUGAGCUACAAUGAGCUAAGACUGUUAAAUAUCUACACUAUGUUUAGCAUUAAUAUGGUAAGCCCCCAGAACAGAAGGACACCAGACUGCCUAAGAAGGGGUGAACCCAUUCAGGCAAGGAUACAGAGCAGGUCAAAGCUCUUAUGCUGAUCAGCAGUGGGACCAGGCUAUAAACGGCCUCUGUACUUUUAGCCUUGGCAAAAUAGGGAGAUCCAGUCUUAA